AGUGAACGCUGGCGGUAGGCCUAACACAUGCAAGUCGAACGGCAGCACAGUAAGAGCUUGCUCUUACGGGUGGCGAGUGGCGGACGGGUGAGGAAUACAUCGGAAUCUACUUUUUCGUGGGGGAUAACGUAGGGAAACUUACGCUAAUACCGCAUACGACCUACGGGUGAAAGCAGGGGAUCUUCGGACCUUGCGCGAUUGAAUGAGCCGAUGUCGGAUUAGCUAGUUGGCGGGGUAAAGGCCCACCAAGGCGACGAUCCGUAGCUGGUCUGAGAGGAUGAUCAGCCACACUGGAACUGAGACACGGUCCAGACUCCUACGGGAGGCAGCAGUGGGGAAUAUCGGACAAUGGGCGCAAGCCUGAUCCAGCCAUACCGCGUGGGUGAAGAAGGCCUCCGGGUUGUAAAGCCCUUUUGUUGGGAAAGAAAAGCAGCAGGUUAAUACCCCGCUGUUCUGACGGUACCCAAAGAAUAAGCACCGGCUAACUUCGUG
rnacentral:rRNA from 1 species